CUUAUGCUCUCCCUCUCAAGACGCAUUAAAGCUUUUCUGUAGUAGGAUCCUGUGUGUGCCGCGUCGUUCCUGCUGGCGAGACAUAGCGCGGGACAGUUUACCAUCAGGGCCAUUUGAUCGAGGUAGGAGUGACAGAAAGAACACAGUCAAGAUUUCCAAGUCACGAGAAGGACAGCGACUGCUUGUGAAGGACUAGCGACAAACUUGCAAAAUGUAAAAGGAAAGGGGCUGCUCCUUUAAGACGCUCUGGUCCAUGGAUGAGAAGACCUCUGUGUACACCAGAUCAGUAGAGGCGUCAUAGAAACCAGGAGCAAGCAAGGUGCACCUUGGGAG
ensembl:lncRNA